rnacentral:rRNA from 1 species
AUUGAACGCUGGCGGCAUGCCUUACACAUGCAAGUCGAACGGCAGCACGGGAGCAAUCCUGGUGGCGAGUGGCGAACGGGUGAGUAAUAUAUCGGAACGUGCCCAGUCGUGGGGGAUAACGCAGCGAAAGCUGUGCUAAUACCGCAUACGAGCUACGGAUGAAAGCGGGGGAUCGCAACACCUCGCGCGUUUGGAGCGGCCGAUAUCAGAUUAGCUAGUUGGUGGGGUAAAGGCCCACCAAGGCGACGAUCUGUAGCUGGUCUGAGAGGACGACCAGCCACACUGGAACUGAGACACGGUCCAGACUCCUACGGGAGGCAGCAGUGGGGAAUUUUGGACAAUGGGCGCAAGCCUGAUCCAGCAAUGCCGCGUGCAGGAUGAAGGCCUUCGGGUUGUAAACCGCUUUUGUACGGAACGAAACGGCUCCUUCUAAUACAAGGGGCUAAUGACGGUACCGUAAGAAUAAGCACCGGCUAACUACGUGCCAGCCGCCGCGGUAAGAC